rnacentral:pre_miRNA from 15 species
UAAGGCCUCUGAAAAGAGAAAAUGGCCAAUCUGGAUGUGCUCGUUGGUCAUAGACGUCAACACGAACUGUUCAUAUGACUAGAGACACAUUCAGCUUGGCCUGCUUCUCUAGUUUUGAAUUUUUCA